rnacentral:lncRNA from 1 species
ACUAAACUCGGUGGUGUUUUGAAUUGAUGUUAGGUCCAAUCACCAGGAAUGUUUAUAGAUUAGUUGAUAAAGAUAUCUUUGGAGAUGCUGUAAUUUGAGAGAGAAUGCAGAUCCCUACAACCAAUUCUUAUCAGUUCAAUGCUGCUAAAACAACCAAAAUCCUUAAUAUUCAGGUAAUGGAGAUCCUUUCAUUUUUAGGUACCGAUAACAAAUGUGGUUCUAUUGUGCUUUCGAACAACUAAACAGUAUUCUUGUUAUUCUUGAUGAAGCUGCUAUAGCUGCAAUUAUGAAUGCUGACAAUUGGAAAACUUAGCUACGAGGCAAUUUCAGACAGAGGAUAGCAAAUAGGAUGUAUACAUUACCUUAAUUGUUAUAAAUUUAACCGUUAUUACAAAACAUUGCUGCCCCCAAAUUAUUGUCAGUUCAUGUUGACUUGCACGAAAUUUUUGAAAGUUGUAUGACAUGAUGCACACCCAUGAUGCCUUUGAGAUGAAUUCACUAAUAAAUAUUUAAGCUCUUAAGAGGGAGGAUUUUUAUUAUAUGGUGAUAUUUUACAAUGACAUGCACAUUCAUGAUGCUUUUAGAUAAAUCACAAAUCUUAGACGAUAUUUACAAAAUUUAUAUGCGUAUAUCACAUUUGGUAUGCUAAAAGAAUAAUAGAAUAUUGAUUUGUGUACAAUUGUACUUUAAGAGUACUUGUUACUUUACUUCGAAGGUGAUUCAGAAUAUUGCCUUGUAUAUUAGUGUGUAUUUAGAUGAUCCUUUGAAGUUCGAAGAUUAAUUUUUUGUUAUCUGAGUUAGAUAUAUCAUUAUACUAAAUAAAAGAGGGAAUAGGCCUUCAAUGUUCAUUCUUAUGCUUCCCCUUUUCACACUUGACUGUUUUCUACCAUUCACAAACUGGUUACAAAUGGGCGUACAUUAAAAGCUCUCAUACAAAAAUCUUCUCUCACACGCCUCUCUGAUGCUACUAGAUGGAAAGUAGCCCUAACCAUUCCUUUCCCCUUUCCCUUUGUCGGAUCUCCAAAGAGACUUGUGGUCUCCUUAAGAUCCUCUUGGAGAAGAAACAAUGGAAUCAUUGCAUCGUUCUUUGAUUCACAAUCGGCUUCUCAAAACAGUUAGAGUUACGACUCUCUCAAGAAUUUUUUUAGACACAUCUCAAGAAAAUUUGUUUUAUCAAUUCGUGAACAUAUUCUUCGUUAUUCUUGGGAAAGAACUGAUAGUUUCAUGUCAAUAAUGGAAUAUUUUUUGCCCCCUUUUACCCCUUUUCAGCUUAAAGUGUAGGAAUAUUAUGGUCUCUCCCUUAUCGCUUCCAAACAAAUUGCAUCGACAAGAAUUCUUAUAUUUUUUGUUGGCAGUGUAUGGCGGUGCUUUUUGUUAUGAGAUCAAGCACAUGCUAGAGCCUUCUAGCUCAGAUGAGCUCUCUUGUGCCGAUUACUUCUAUAUCCACGGAGUCAACAUGAAGAACGAUUCUGGCCUUGAAGGUCUCAUGAAGAUGGUAGAUCUUGUAAUCCUCCAACUAGUUGAUCGAUCUUUUCCAUAUCAAUUUUGUUUGAUUAUUCAGUUUCUGUGCUUUAUUUUUUUUCUAUUCUACUUGUUCUAUUAAAUUUCUACUAUGAAGGGAUUAAUAUCGUGCAAUUGCAGGUUGGA